UGUGCAUUUUGCCUGUUUUGAGC
rnacentral:siRNA from 1 species